UACGAAGGGGGCUAGCGUUGUUCGGAAUUACUGGGCGUAAAGCGCGUGUAGGCGGGUCUUUAAGUCAGGGGUGAAAUCCUGGAGCUCAACUCCAGAACUGCCUUUGAUACUGAAGAUCUUGAGUCCGGGAGAGGUGAGUGGAACUGCGAGUGUAGAGGUGAAAUUCGUAGAUAUUCGCAAGAACACCAGUGGCGAAGGCGGCUCACUGGCCCGAUACUGACGCUGAGGCACGAAAGCGUGGGGAGCAAACAGG
rnacentral:rRNA from 1 species